AUUGAACGCUGGCGGCAGGCCUAACACAUGCAAGUCGAACGAGUGGCGGACGGGUGAGUAAUGUCUGGGAAACUGCCUGAUGGAGGGGGAUAACUACUGGAAACGGUAGCUAAUACCGCAUACCAUCGGAUGUGCCCAGAUGGGAUUAGCUAGUAGGUGGGGUAAAGGCUCACCUAGGCGACGAUCCCUAGCUGGUCUGAGAGGAUGACCAGCAACACUGGAACUGGGACACGGUCAAGACUCCUACGGGAGGCAGCAGGGGGGAAUAUUGGACAAUGGGCGCAAGCCUGAUGCAGCCAUGCCGCGUGUAUGAAGAAGGCCUUCGGGUUGUAAAGUACUUUCGGCGGGGAAGCGUUACCCACAGACGAAGCACCGGCUAACUCCGUGCCAGCAGCCGCGGUAAUAC
rnacentral:rRNA from 1 species